CGAAUCACUUUUAUUUCGUCCACACAAAAUGUCUGAGAAAGAGAUGUAGGCUACUGAAACCAAUAGUAAAGCUACAGUCUGAGUCAUUACCAGAAAGUUGUGCUUAUCCUUCUUCAGGGUCUCUUUGCCCUGUCCAAAGAAAGGGGAUGACAAACCUCAUCUUGAGCCCCAUUACGCUGUUUGAAAGAGUGCAAUAAGUUGGACUUUGAAAGCCACCCAACCUUUUAAGUACCUGGCUACAUGCUAAAAAACAAAGAUCAGUAAUGAAGAAAGCAAGUGACCAUACCUUAUAUUCGUAUGAAUGUAAAUUCAUCACCUCGUAGGCAAUUUGUCACCACUGAAUACCAUUAUUAACCUAAGGGACCUAACAUUAUUUACAAGGAGGGAGGGGGGGGGGCUGGUGGAAUAAGAAAUAAACUUCUCAAAAACUUGAAGUCCCCCCUUUAUUGGGGACACACUUUUUAUUGGUCACCCCCCUCCAUAAUUCUUUAAAUUAAUUUUUUGGCACUCAAAAAAUGAUCUAAGAUACUAUACCAAAAAAUUUUCUGUAAACCAAAAUGAAAUGUUAUGAAGAAUACCAUCCUACCUUUUCUAAAAGUGAUGCACAAGGAGAUGAAAGUGACAGGGGAAAGCAGUGAAUCUGACGAUGAAAUACUUUAAGGACUUUCAAUUGUCAACCAUUUGUUUAGAUUGAGAUUGAGUCUUUUGUUUAUCAGAGUCUCCAAUUAAAACAUAAAAAGUCAGUUUUGCUGGUAUUGAUAUUGCAGAAUUUUAAUUGGUCCCCCUUUUUUAUGUGCUCACAAAUUAUUUGUCCCCCUGGUUUCCACCAGUCCCCCCCUCCCAGUAAAUAAUGUUAGGUCCCUAAUUAAGUGCAUGAUAGGCAUUUCUAUUCAAUUGUAGUUUACUUUUUCUCUUGUAAAAACUUAUAUUUUUGGCAUUUUAAUGCUACCCAUUUAUGAUAACUAAUAACACACAAACAUCACCUUUCUGAGCCCUUUAUAAUUGCCAUUUUUAGUCAUAACUGUCUUGUAUACUUUUUACUAGUCCAUCAACAAUGGACUAGUAAAUUCUGAAAGUCAUACUUUACUUAAGUGAAAAGAAGUUUGUAAGGAUGUGUAGAUAGGAUCUUGGUGAUUUCUUUGUGGAUUCUUGCAGAAUCAUAAAUUUAAGAUUUAAUCCUGUGAUUUCCAAAAUUCUCCAUAUCUUUACCAUUGAGCAAAGGUUUGCACCUUUAAUUCUGUAUGUUGAUGCUCAAGAAUCCUCUGAUCUGCAGCCACUGGUGUUUGGCUAUGUCUCCUUGCAGAUUUCUUAGAAUCUUUGGUUAUGAUUUACAGGUUAUUUUUAAAUAUAAAAUAUUUUAAAAUAUUCCAUCUCUGUCCCUCUCAACCAAGGUUGUUUUGGUGGAUGGAAUGUAAUGCUACAUUGCUGAUUAGGUUUUGCAUGUUUUCCUCAGUUAGGGUUUUACAUUGGAAUAUGUGCAUCGUUUUGGCGUUCUUCUCUGUUAUAAGUAGGAAGUUUAAUAUUUUACCUUACUUCUGAAGCAACUUGGAUGUGAAGAAGGGCAACUACUUUUGUGUUGUAACUUUGUCCUCUCCUCUGAGGAAAGACAUUUUCCUCAGAGAAGAGAGGAAAGAGGGAUACCACAAGACCAGUCCCAGUACUUCUCUUUGAUUUCUUCCAAAUGUUUGUGAGAUCUCCUUUUGUUGGAAGCUUCUCUUCCAUUUAUUGUUCAAGGAACGUGUCAAGAAAUGGAUAUUGAAGAAUGAGGCUCACGAAGUCAAGAAAGUGACCCAGAUCAGAGCUUCCAUUUCCAGUUUAUUUCAAUUCCCUCUUCCAUUAGUCUCCUUGCAGCUGUUCUUUGUCUCUGGAUCCCUGUCUCCCUCCCUCCUCCCAUUGUGGGGAGAGAGACACAGGGAUCUCGAGACAAAGAACGGCUGCAAGAGGAGACUACUCUUCCCUAGGCUCAUACUUCAAAACCUCACAAAAGCCUUAUUUUAAAUUCUUAAGGAAACAAAGUUUAUCACAAGGGAAGUGAAAAUACAGAAUGGGUGGCCAAAUAUGUUCCCCAAAGGAAUUCAAAUGAUUCUGGCAUAAAAUGUUGUUUGAAAACUGACAAGGAUUCCUUGGAAGAAGAGUCACUUUCACCUAAUCUAGCUUCUCAGAGAAAGAAACAUUCUUUCCAAAGUUUGUAAAGUUUAAUGUGGUGUUCACUUUAUGUGCACUGUUGCUCUCAAUACAUCUGCAUGCUAUC